rnacentral:rRNA from 1 species
AUACGUAGGGGGCGAGCGUUGUCCGGAAUGAUUGGCCGUAAAGGGUGCGUAGGCGGCCCGGUAAGUCUGGAGUGAAAGUCCUGUUUUUAAGAUGGGAAUUGCUUUGGAUACUGUCGGGCUUGAGUGCAGGAGAGGUAAGUGGAAUUCCCAGUGUAGCGGUGAAAUGCGUAGAGAUUGGGAGGAACACCAGUGGCGAAGGCGACUUACUGGACUGUAACUGACGCUGAGGCGCGAAAGUGUGGGGAGCAAACAGGAUUAGAUACCCUGGUAGUCCACACUGUAAACGAUGAAUGCUAGGUGUAGGGGGUAUCGACCCCUUCUGUGCCGCAGUCAACACAAUAAGCAUUCCGCCUGGGGAGUACGGCCGCAAGGUUGAAACUCAAAGGAAUUGACGGGG